CCUACGGGAGGCAGCAGUGAGGAAUAUUGGUCAAUGGGCGUAAGCCUGAACCAGCCAAGUCGCGUGAGGGAUGAAGGUUCUAUGGAUCGUAAACCUCUUUUAUAAGGGAAUAAAGUGUGGGACGUGUCCCAUUCUGCAUGUACCCUAUGAAUAAGGAUCGGCUAACUCCGUGCCAGCAGCCGCGGUAAUACGGAGGAUCCGAGCGUUAUCCGGAUUUAUUGGGUUUAAAGGGUGCGUAGGCGGCCUUUUAAGUCAGCGGUGAAAGUCUGUGGCUCAACCAUAGAAUUGCCGUUGAAACUGGGGGGCUUGAGUAUGUUUGAGGCAGGCGGAAUGCGUGGUGUAGCGGUGAAAUGCUUAGAUAUCGCGCAGAACCCCGAUUGCGAAGGCAGCCUACCAAGCCAUGACUGACGCUGAUGCACGAAAGCGUGGGGAUCGAACAGGAUUAGAUACCCCUGUAGUC
rnacentral:rRNA from 1 species